UUAAAAAGAGGUGGCUGUCACCAUGCUGGACUGUUUCAGGUUGAGGUUUAGGGAGUCCUUUGCUUUUUUCCUCAGGUUUUUUUUUUUCAAUUGAUGCACAGAGGAAAUGACUAGAGGGGUUACGGGAACCUGAAUCCAUCAGGAAGUCUCAUAAAGACUGGGUAACUUUAGGAUGUAAAAACUUUCAAGACUAAAUUGACUUUUUCCCUUUGGGAACCAAAAAUCUUAUUUUUUCAGUGCCUAUACUGACCCAAAGAGAAUGGGCUAACAGUUUCAGAAAGUUACUAGUAGCCAAGUAAUUUGUUACAGUAUAGAUGACCCUCUCGUUAAAAAAAAGAAAACAAACCUUUAGGUUUGGUAGUUAAUUGGUGAAUCUUACCAGUCCCCAGAGGGGAACACAAUUUAGGUAAUACCUCAUUGUAGCAGAUGCCAAGACAAAGACAGGCUCUUCAGGCUGUUCCCUGUCCUCAGGAUGGUAUGUUAAAGCAGGGUUUUGCUGAUUAUCUGCAGCGAGUGAUCCAGGAAGAACAAGUGUUUUUUCUGACCUUGGUACAUUUCCUCAGUAACGUAUGCGUGCUGUUCUCUCACAGGUAGAAAGGGGGUAAAUGCUGAACAAAACUGUAAUGGAUCUUGAUCAACCAGCAGUAACAAGGAAAACAGGCUUCUUAUUCUGGGCUGCAGGGUGUGCUUUUUAACCAAUGUACUCGGACACCUGCCCAGUCAGUACAGUUUCUCCUCUAGCUGAUAGGCUAAGUAUGAGUAUCUCAGCAUCGUCCCAGUUGUUGAUGAUGGGAACCAUUGGGAUGGGACUUACGAGUGAUCACAUUCAUGUUUUCUUGUGCUGAUAAAAUUAUUUCAUUGUCAGGCAUCUACUUUAUGCAAGC
rnacentral:lncRNA from 1 species